CACGUAGGGGACGAGCGUUGUCCGGAUUCAUUGGGCGUAAAGCGUGCGCAGGCGGCUUCGCAAGUCAGGCGUGAAAUCCCCGGGCUUAACCUGGGAAUUGCGCUUGAAACUACGAUGCUGGAGUGCGGCAGAGGAAGGUGGAAUUCCACGUGUAGCGGUGAAAUGCGUAGAUAUCAUUUGGAACGCCGAUGGUGAAAACAGCUGACUGGGGGUGUUCUGACGCUGAGACACGAAAGCCAGGGGAGCGAACGGG
rnacentral:rRNA from 1 species